rnacentral:lncRNA from 1 species
GAACCCCUCCACUUGCUCCCAUGGCCUGUUCUCGUGCUUUCCUCGUCCUGCAGACCCUGAGGCCUGAAGGGGUAGGACGUUAAUCAGGACUCUGUGGAGUGGCAGAACCCAACAAAAUCUGCUCACGGGAAAAAAGAUGUAUUGGAAGGAGGCUGGAGAGCUCACUGUGUGACACGUAGCCAUCCAGGAAUGACACUACCAUCCACAGUCACCAUCCAGGAGAAAACUACCAUCCACAGUCACCAUCCAGGAAGUAAUACCACCAUCCACAGUCACCAUCCAGGAAUGACACUACCAUCCACAGUCACCAUCCAGGUAGUGAUACCACCAUCCGCAGUCACCGUCCAGGAAGGAAAAUACCAUCCACAGUCACCAUCCAGGUAGUGAUACCACCAUCCACAGUCACCAUCCAGGAAGGAAACUACCAUCCACAGUCACCAUCCAGGAAGGAAACUACCAUCCACAGUCACCAUCCAGGAGGAAACUACCAUCCACAGUCACCAUCCAGGAAGAAAACUACCAUCCACAGUCACCAUCCAGGUAGUGAUACCACCAUCCACAGUCACCAUCCAGGAAGGAAACUACCAUCCACAGUCACCAUCCAGGAAGGAAGUUACCAUCCACAGUAAUGAUCCAAGUAGUUAAACAACAACCUCUGCAAUCAUCAGCCCCAGUUGGCCUGGACCUGAUCAAUAACUGUCUUUUUUCCUUUUUUUUUUUUUUUGUGGUGAAGAAAAUUGGUUCUGAGCUAACAUCUGU